rnacentral:tRNA from 1 species
GCUUGAGUGGCUCAGUCGGUUGAGCGUCCGACUUCGGCUUGGGUCAUGAUCUCACAGUCUGUGAGUUCGAGCCCCACAUCGGGCU